AAUCACCGGUGACACGUGAUGAGACUCUUGAGUGGGAAGGAAUGACCCCGCUCAGUCAGCCUCAGUGCCACCCCGGCUUCCGUGACAAGAGGACGUGUUGCUGCUCUGCUCUCCUUGCCCACGCCACCCACGAAAAGUCAUGCUGUUCAACUUUAAAGAGGAGUUAUCGCCGCAGUCUUCCUGGAUUUUCGAACAGCAGCUCGGCCUUCCUGCCUUCGUGGACGUGAUUAAUGCGACAGAACUCACCACAACGGUAGUUUUCGUUUUUCGUGUCGCUGUUGCCCUGAAUGAAGUCUUCGGCCCCAAGGAAGGAAAGGAGGAAGAAGAGGGAGGGGUGAUGGGAGAGGAGGAAAGAUCUCUCGGCGUGUGGAGUGAGAGGAAUCUCGCGGAGGAUCAGCUGGCAUUGUUUCACCACCUAGAGGCGUCCCUGGCAGCUGGGGGUGUGGAUGGGCGGAACUGUUUGCUAAGGGCGGUGUGUGAAGGGCAGAGUAAACGACUCGUGACCCUUAACCUUCUUGGACACCUCCUCACUGCUUUCCUUACACCUCAAGACAAGACCAUCCUGAAGCCGUACUGGGAGGCUGCAGAGGUCGGGAGGGGAGGAACUAAGGGGGGUCGGUGCGCCAGACGCUAUCCAGGCUGUCCCGUCUCUCUGUUAGAUAUUUUCAAGCUGGCCAGACGCAAUCCAAUGACGCCUUCUAACUAUUAAAGUGACCAUCAUCAUCAUCAUCAUCAGUGGUGGUGGUGGUGGUGGUGGUUGUGGUGGUGGUGGUGAUCUGAAAUUCUGUGUUUUGUACGGGGUCUGUUUUAAUUCUGUGGUGUUUGUUUGUUUGUUUUGGGGGUUUGUUUGUUUUGGGGGUUUGUUUGUUUGUUUGUUUGUUUGUUGUUCUUGUUGUUGUUGUUGUUGUUGUUGUUGUUCGUGUUCUUUUUCUUGUUCUUCUUAUUCUUCUUCUGCUUCAGUGUGUCUUUCUGUCUGUCUAUCUCUAUUCUCCUCCUCCUCCUCUUCCUCUUCCUCUUCCUCCUCCUCUUCCUCCUCCUCCUCCUCCACUCCUUCCUCCUCCUUUUUUUUUUUAUCAGGCAUUAACUUGUAUUUGUAAUCUCUAUUUGUAAUCUCUAUUUGUAAUCGGCAAUUUUUUUUUUUUUUUUUGUAAUUGUAACCUUUGUAUUUCAUUUAUAUAUAUACACUGCAUUUGUAAUUUCACAUUUGUAAUCUGCAUUUGUGAUUUUGAAUUCG